GACGAACGCUGGCGGCGUGCCUAAUACAUGCAAGUGGGACGCAAGGGAACACACUGUGCUUGCACACCGUGUUUUCUUGAGUCGCGAACGGGUGAGUAACGCGUAGGUAACCUGCCUAUUAGCGGGGGAUAACUAUUGGAAACGAUAGCUAAUACCGCAUAAUAUUAAUUAUUGCAUGAUAAUUGAUUGAAAGAUGCAAGCGCAUCACUAGUAGAUGGACCUGCGUUGUAUUAGCUAGUUGGUAAGGUAAGAGCUUACCAAGGCGACGAUACAUAGCCGACCUGAGAGGGUGAUCGGCCACACUGGGACUGAGACACGGCCCAGACUCCUACGGGAGGCAGCAGUAGGGAAUCUUCGGCAAUGGACGAAAGUCUGACCGAGCAACGCCGCGUGAGUGAAGAAGGUUUUCGGAUCGUAAAGCUCUGUUGUAAGUCAAGAACGUG
rnacentral:rRNA from 1 species